GGCCGCUUGCAGCCAAAUAAAGAGCAGCAGGAGCAGGAUUAUUAUCUCCAGCGAAAUGUGUCUGUCAAGUUGGUUGGUUAACCGACAAGAAUCAAAUCAGUCCGAGGUGCAAAAUAAUAAAUGGCUAAAUGGCAACAACAACAACAACAACAACAACAAAGGCCAUAGCAUUGCUUGCAACCCCGUUACAAAGGUCCACGUCAAAUAUAAAAAAUUACAUUUUUGUCAACUCAUUAGAAACGUGACGAUGGUAGCUGCCCGGCCAUUUAGAGCUUUGAGAAGGGUUUGUCAUUUAAUUAAAAAACGGCAUAGUCAAAUGAAUAAAUGGAUAUUUGUAUAUAGCUAGCGCUGGCUCCACCUACAGCAGCUAGUCUGGGGCCACUUGACAGCAAGUUUAACAGUGCGCGCCUACGCACAGGUGUGCCUAACAGAACGCUGUUAACGGGCUGCAUUUCUGUUGCUGCUACCCUCGUUGGCCGGCACCUGCGAUAGGCGGCUGGCAGCCAAAAGCCAACCGUUUGGCGUCCAAUGGCAGCGCAGCCCCAAAAGCAUUAAAUGCAAAAAAAAAUAAAAAAAAAACGCCACAACAACAACAAAAAACCCCAACCACAACGAAUCUGGAGCAGCGUUUAAUAUGCGCAAGAGCCAAAACAACCCUCGCAGGAGCAGCAAAAGCAGCAGCAACAACAGCAAAUGCCGGUCUCAGCCAGCAGCAACAGCAGCUGAUAAGCCAGUGAGAGCGAGAGAGCGCCAGAGCGCAACCACCUAACAGCCGUAACGGCAGCAGCAGCAGUAGCAGCAGCAGCAGCAGCAGCAGCGCAGCAGCAAACGCAACAACAACAGAGCUGCUGCCGCUAUUCGGUUUUCAUUCAUGCAGCCUCGUCGCAUUCGUCAAGUGAACUUCGGCGCUGGCGGUCGUGUGUGCGCGCAGUAGCAGUUAGCAGCAAAAGCAACAGUAAAUAAAAUUACGUUAACGCGAAACUCAAAUUUGUUGUGUGCAAAGUGCGAAGCGCAUUGUUUAUUAUAACAAAACCAAACAAAUUAUUUCUUUUUUUUUUGUUUCUAAGAUAUUUAUGCAAGUGAGUGUAAGUUGUGCGUGCCACAAAAUUAAAGAAAAAAGGCAAACAAAAAAAAAAAAAAAAAAAAACAACAGCAACUGAAGCAAUAACAACAACAACAGCAAAAAACAUCUGUGCGUGCGUGUGUGUGUGUGUGUGUGUGUACGGCCCCACCAUACUUCCCACCGCAUUAGCGUUUGUGUGUGGCGCAAUUAUUUGAAAUAUGCAAAUUUACGAGCUAACUAAUUGAGUCGAGUUCAGUUCGCAGUUCGCGUGUGUUUUGUGUUGUUGCAGGUGUCGGGCAUCAGUUUGUUCUUUCUACCUCGCUCUUUUGCUCGCUAGCUAUCUCUCUCUCUCUCGCUCUCUCUAUCGCUGACGCUCCAGGCUCUCUGAUGUGCGGACUGAUCUUGCCUCGUUAGAAGCGUCUUCUUCUUGCCAUCUGUAUUAAUUCAAUCAACGGUAAAUCACGCGCGCAAACGACUCUCACCCACUCAUCGCACUCUCGCUCUCUCGCUCGCUCGUUCGCUCGCUCGCUCGGUCUGUGUUACUCUCCCUAUCGCACUCAUUGGCUCUGCACGUGUGCAAGCAGCAGCAAUUUUCAUGCGUUUAGUACGACUAUAAAAAUUCGCACUCAAUUAGCUGCGAGCUGAGAGCUGCGAGCAGCAGCAACAACAAUUCAUAACAUAAACAAAACAAAACAAAACAAAAGAAAACAACAACAACAACAACAAUAAUAAUCGCUAGCACAUUCCUGUGUGCAAAUUGUACAACAAACAGCGCUAAAUAAAUACAAGAAACAUUAAGAGAGAAAAAAGCCUUUCCACAAACCAGAACCAAGAAGAAGCAGAAGCAGAAACAGAAAAGGCAGCCGAAGAAGAAGGAGAAGCGACUGCAGCAACAAUAAAAGCUAUAAAAAAGAAAAUAACCCCCGUCCCCCGUCGCCAGCUACGAAACCCGCUCGCAGCAAGAAAAGCAACAAUUUUCUGCAUAUGUAAGUUUUCAAAAUUUAAACGUUCAUCUGCCAUACAUUUAAGCUUAACAGGUAAAAACAAUAUAACUUUACAUACACACAUAUUUAUCUAUACAUAACAGACUGAGACAGACUGAGGCAGACUGAGUCGCGAGAACGUAGCUAUCAGCAAUUGUGAGAAUCACAUAGAACGGCGCGCAAUUUAAUUUAUAGCUAAAAGUGUUGAGAAAUUAUAAAUUAUUAACGUAAUAUAUUUAGCAGAACAGCCUGAGACGCGCAUAGAGCGGCGCUAUCAGUAAUUGUGAAUUGUGAGAAUCACAUAGAACGGCGCGCAAGUUUAUGGCUUAGCUGUUAACUGUGGCACUUGUCGCCGCUUCUAUCUUGUCUGCUUUCGGCGCUUUUUUUUUAUUGGUUUAUUAUGCCAAAGUGCUGUCAUAAAACCGAAACAACGACAAAAGCUACAAAUAUACCAGCUAGCGGGCAUUUUAAUCAGUCAACAAAUGAACCUUGCGCAUAUUUUUAAGGCUAAUUAAGUCGCAAAUUAUGAGCACCUUGUCAGCGUGGGUUUCAGCAGGCUUAAAAAUGUGCCGCUACUUGGGUUUUCUUUUUGUUUUUUUUCGUUCUGUUUAUUUUACUGGCAAAACGAGCCUUACGAACACGUAAGAAUGCGUCAAGGGCUUAAGGCUUACUGCCACUGCGCGAGUUGCACUUUUACAGUUACGGUUUAUUGUCAUUAAUGCUUAAAUGUUUAAUAACAAUAACAAUGUUAAACAUUCUGUUCAAUCUUAAUCUUAAAUCUGCAACUAAAGAGCGCUAUGUUCCAUAUAAUGUGCAGAUCGAAUAGGUAGAUACAUACUUAGCUUUUCAGGGCUGCCACUUGGCACAAACUAAACAGAAAUGAGAAUUACAUAGAAAGGCUUGCAAUUUUUUUUUUGCUUAGCGAUCCACUCCUAUCAAGAUCGCUGCACUAAAUUAUAAAGCGCUUAAGGAAGGAUCUUUCGUGUUUCAUUAAACAUAUUCUCACAUUUUUGCCCAUGUCUGCAAGGGUAUUAAAUCUUCGGAAUGCCAUAAAUAUUCUUAGUUUCUCUUUGCUUUUAACUUGACAUUUUCCUUUUCUACAAAGUUUGGUAGAAUUUGAUUCAUAGAACUAUCGGCCUAUCAUAUCUGAGCAUGUCAUGAGUGCUUAGGCAGUCGCAUAUCGUUUCUGGGGGGCGUCUUCAGCUUGUUGUUGUUGCUCUUCUCUCUCUCUCUCUCUCCUCUCUCUCUCUCUCUCUCGCUUUUUUGGGCGUGCGCUGUGACGUUGAGAAUGUGUAGAUUGUAAAGCCAGGUGGCUUAAAGCAGUUUUUAUUUUUUAUUAUUUUAUUAUGAUUUUAUUAGAUAUUUUUUUUUUUUUGUUUGGUUCGCAGCGCUGGCAAUAAAUUUCGUAUGAUAUCAGUUUUUGUUUUUGUUUUUGUUUUUUUGGGGCGUGUGAAAUGUUAAAAAUUACGCAGCUUUGUGGCAUUUUCUGCAAAGUUCAAUGAAAAUUAAUUAAAUAUCGACAACAACAAGCUGCUGACAUAACAGAGGUAUAUACAAGCUAGUACACAGCACACCCUGCCCCAGCCGCCCACUGCAACCCCCAUUGCAGCCCCGCUGCAACCCCUGACAGCCCCUGCUUGCCGUGCAGCAAAGAGGUGGGCCCAUUAAAUGCAACACUGACAAAAUUAAUUGCCACUUUUUCGCAUUUGGCAGAGCAACAAACGAAAAUGUCAUGAAAACGCAAACGAAGACGAAGACGGAGACGCAGACGGAGACGUAGACGAAGAUGACGAUGAGAAAAACGAGCAAAAAUCAACAGAAAAA